rnacentral:tRNA from 1 species
UCCCUGGAGGACUAGAGGUUAGUCCAAGACGCUCUCACCACCGCGGCCUGAGUUCGAUUCCCAGCUAGGGAC